GCAGUUAACUUCACCAAGAAGUGAUUAUCAAAACAAAAAGUAGAGGAACGUGGGCAUUGCGUCGGAUUCACGUAGCAGCAGUAGUAGUAGUAUUCGCGACUUGUGAUUCUAUUAGUUUGAUAGAGGCAUUUUAUUCUUCUUUUCUCUCUUUAAACACUUUGGUGGGAUUUUAAUGAAAGCUGAUGCAUGACACUAUGAUUCUCUUGCUUCUUCUCCCUUCAGCUGCUGUUCUGAUAUAUGCUACUGCUAGAUUGUAUGUGAACUAAGCACACUCCUACUGAAUCACAUCAGCAUCAUAUUCAUAUUCCUAUAUAAAUCUUAUUUUCAUUAAAUAAAUUAAUCUUUACUGUCUUAUCGGGUAGGGGUAAGGUCCGUCUACAUAUUACCCUCCCCAAACCCCACUUUGUGGGACUAUACUGGGUAGUAGUUAUUGUUGUUGUUAAUCUUUACUAUCGUACCCCAUCUUAGAAUUCCUACUUUUUAAGAAAAUAGUACAAAGUUGAGAAAUUUAUGGGGCUAGUUUCUUGAUAAAAAUUGGAUAUUUUUGUCUUUACAUUAAGUGUACAUGAAUGUGAAGAGAAUUUGAGGGUAGUGAAGUGAUGAACUCUGACGUUGUUUUGCACCAACAUACACUUUUUUCAUAUAAAAGUACUUGUAUAGUUGUAUACAUAAAUAGGGAUUUUGGCAGCAAAGAUUCUGGAGGAAUUGAUUCUGAUACUGUGUUUUCUUUUUCAGGGGUAUAAAUUUGUAGGCAGACUUGUGAAAAGAGUAAUUUGUCUUGCUUUACUCUCCUUGCUUAAAGGCAUACCGGAAGCUAGGGUGGGCCGCAGCGGACUUACUGCCGUACCUUAGGUAUGCCAAGAUUUCUGUCUAUUUUAACGUUCAUAGUGUCUGAAAUAAUCUUUCUACAUUCGUAAGGCAGGGUAAGGCUUGUGUACGCUCUAGCCCCACACCUUACUUUUUGAGAUUUCACUAAAUAUAUCUUUUUCAGACCUUACUUUAUGGGAUUUCACUGAGUCUAUUGUUGUAUAGCGUCUGAAACAUCUCUACAUUCUUUUUGCAGUUUGUUCUUAAUGCUUUUGAAUGUUCUUAUAAGUGCUCUUACCACUUUUUAAUAUGAUGGUUCCUGUUAUAAAUACACUUCUAUUUAAGGUGAAUGUCUUUAAUUAGAGAGAUUCUACAGUUCU
rnacentral:lncRNA from 1 species